rnacentral:rRNA from 1 species
CCUACGGGAGGCAGCAGUGGGGAAUAUUGGGCAAUGGGCGCAAGCCUGACCCAGCAACGCCGCGUGAAGGAAGAAGGCUUUCGGGUUGUAAACUUCUUUUCUGAGGGACGAAGAAAGUGACGGUACCUCAGGUAUAAGCCACGGCUAACUACGUGCCAGCCGCCGCGGUAAUACGUAGGUGGCACGCGUUAUCUGGAUUUAUUGGGUGUAAAGGGCGUGUAGGCGGGAAAGCAAGUUAGAUGUGAAAACUCAGGGCUCAACCCUGGGCCUGCAUUUGAUACUGGUUUUCUUGAGUGCUGGAGAGGCAAGCGGAAUUCCGUGUGUAGCGGUGAAAUGCGUAGAUAUGCGGAGGAACACCAGUGGCGAAGGCGGAUUGCUGGACAGUAACUGACGCUGAGGCGCGAAAGCGUGGGGAGCAAACAGGAUUAGAUACCCGAGUAGUC